rnacentral:rRNA from 1 species
AGACAGAUGUGAAAUCCCCGGGCUUAACCUGGGAACUGCGUUUGUGACUGCAAGACUGGAGUGUGGCAGAGGGGGGUGGAAUUCCACGUGUAGCAGUGAAAUGCGUAGAGAUGUGGAGGAACACCGAUGGCGAAGGCAGCCCCCUGGGUUAACACUGACGCUCAUGCACGAAAGCGUGGGUAGCAAACAGGAUUAGAUACCCUGGUAGUCCACGCCCUAAACGAUGCCAACUAGGUGUUGGAGAAGGAGACUUCUUUAGUACCGUAGCUAACGCGUGAAGUUGGCCGCCUGGGGAGUACGGUCGCAAGAUUAAAACUCAAAGGAAUUGACGGGGACCCGCACAAGCGGUGGAUGAUGUGGAUUAAUUCGAUGCAACGCGAAAAACCUUACCUACCCUUGACAUGCCAGGGAUCCUGCCGAGAGGUGGGAGUGCUCGAAAGAGAGCCUGGACACAGGUGCUGCAUGGCUGUCGUCAGCUCGUGUCGUGAGAUGUUGGGUUAAGUCCCGCAACGAGCGCAACCCUUGUCAUUAGUUGCCAUCAUUUGGUUGGGCACUCUAAUGAGACUGCCGGUGACAAACCGGAGGAAGGUGGGGAUGACGUCAAGUCCUCAUGGCCCUUAUGGGUAGGGCUUCACACGUCAUACAAUGGUCGGUACAGAGGGUUGCCAAGCCGCGAGGUGGAGCCAAUCCCAGAAAGCCGGUCGUAGUCCGGAUCGUAGUCUGCAACUCGACUGCGUGAAGU